UACGUAGGGUGCGAGCGUUGUCCGGAAUUAUUGGGCGUAAAGAGCUCGUAGGCGGUCUGUCGCGUCUGCUGUGAAAACCCGAGGCUCAACCUCGGGCCUGCAGUCGAUACGGGCAAACUAGAGUACUGCAGGGGAGACUGGAAUUCCUGGUGUAGCGGUGAAAUGCGCAGAUAUCAGGAGGAACACCGGUGGCGAAGGCGGGUCUCUGGGCAGUAACUGACGCUGAGGAGCGAAAGCGUGGGGAGCGAACAGG
rnacentral:rRNA from 1 species